UUAAGCGACUAAGCGUACACGGUGGAUGCCCUGGCAGUCAGAGGCGAUGAAGGACGUGCUAAUCUGCGAAAAGCGUCGGUAAGGUGAUAUGAACCGUUACAGCCGGCGAUGUCCGAAUGGGGAAACCCAGUGCAAUUCGUUGCACUAUCGUUAACUGAAUACAUAGGUUAACGAGGCGAACCGGGGAACUGAAACAUCUAAGUACCCCGAGGAAAGAAAUCAACCGAGAUUCCCCAGUAGCGGCGAGCGAACGGGAGCAGCCCAGAGUCUGAAUCAGCUUGUGUGUUAGUGGAACGGUCUGGAAAGUCCGACGGUACAGGGUGAUAGUCCCGUACACCAAAAUGCACAGGUUGUGAACUCGAAGAGUAGGGCGGGACACGUGGUAUCCUGUCUGAAUAUGGGGGGACCAUCCUCCAAGGCUAAAUACUCCUGACUGACCGAUAGUGAACCAGUACCGUGAGGGAAAGGCGAAAAGAACCCGGCGAGGGGAGUGAAAAGAACCUGAAACCGUGUACGUACAAGCAGUGGGAGCACCUUCGGUGUGACUGCGUACCUUUGUAUAAUGGGUCAGCGACUUAUAUUCUGUAGCAAGGUUAACCGUAUAGGGGAGCCGCAGGAAACCGAGUCUUAACUGGGCGUUAAGUUGCAGGGUAUAGACCCGAAACCCGGUGAUCAGCCAUGGGCAGGUUGAAGGUUGGGUAACACUAACUGGAGGACCGAACCGACUAAUGUUGAAAAAUUAGCGGAUGACUUGUGGCUGGGGUGAAAGGCCAAUCAAACCGGGAGAUAGCUGGUUCUCCCGAAAGCUAUUUAGGUAGCGCCUCGUGAACUCAUCUUCGGGGGUAGAGCACUGUUUCGGCUAGGGGGUCAUCCCGACUUACCAACCCGAUGCAAACUACGAAUACCGAAGAAUGUUAUCACGGGAGACACACGGCGGGUGCUAACGUCCGUCGUGAAGAGGGAAACAACCCAGACCGCCAGCUAAGGUCCCAAAGUCAUGGUUAAGUGGGAAACGAUGUGGGAAGGCACAGACAGCCAGGAUGUUGGCUUAGAAGCAGCCAUCAUUUAAAGAAAGCGUAAUAGCUCACUGGUCGAGUCGGCCUGCGCGGAAGAUGUAACGGGGCUAAACCAUGCACCGAAGCUGCGGCAGCGACACUAUGUGUUGUUGGGUAGGGGAGCGUUCUGUAAGCCUGCGAAGGUGUGCUGUGAGGCAUGCUGGAGGUAUCAGAAGUGCGAAUGCUGACAUAAGUAACGAUAAAGCGGGUGAAAAGCCCGCUCGCCGGAAGACCAAGGGUUCCUGUCCAACGUUAAUCGGGGCAGGGUGAGUCGACCCCCUAAGGCGAGGCCGAAAGGCGUAGUCGAUGGGAAACAGGUUAAUAUUCCUGUACUUGGUGUUACUGCGAAGGGGGGACGGAGAAGGCUAUGUUAGCCGGGCGACGGUUGUCCCGGUUUAAGCAUGUAGGCUGAUUGUCCAGGCAAAUCCGGAUAAUCAAGGCUGAGGUGUGAUGACGAGGCACUACGGUGCUGAAGUAACAAAUGCCCUGCUUCCAGGAAAAGCCUCUAAGCAUCAGGUAACAUUAAAUCGUACCCCAAACCGACACAGGUGGUCAGGUAGAGAAUACCAAGGCGCUUGAGAGAACUCGGGUGAAGGAACUAGGCAAAAUGGUGCCGUAACUUCGGGAGAAGGCACGCUGGUGUGUAGGUGAAGUCCCUGCGGAUGGAGCUGAGACCAGUCGAAGAUACCAGCUGGCUGCAACUGUUUAUUAAAAAACACAGCACUGUGCAAACACGAAAGUGGACGUAUACGGUGUGACGCCUGCCCGGUGCCGGAAGGUUAAUUGAUGGGGUUAUCCGUAAGGAGAAGCUCUUGAUCGAAGCCCCGGUAAACGGCGGCCGUAACUAUAACGGUCCUAAGGUAGCGAAAUUCCUUGUCGGGUAAGUUCCGACCUGCACGAAUGGCGUAAUGAUGGCCAGGCUGUCUCCACCCGAGACUCAGUGAAAUUGAACUCGCUGUGAAGAUGCAGUGUACCCGCGGCAAGACGGAAAGACCCCGUGAACCUUUACUAUAGCUUGACACUGAACAUUGAGCCUUGAUGUGUAGGAUAGGUGGGAGGCUUUGAAGCGUGGACGCCAGUCUGCGUGGAGCCAACCUUGAAAUACCACCCUUUAAUGUUUGAUGUUCUAACGUUGGCCCCUGACCGGGGUUGCGGACAGUGUCUGGUGGGUAGUUUGACUGGGGCGGUCUCCUCCCAAAGCGUAACGGAGGAGCACGAAGGUUAGCUAAUCCUGGUCGGACAUCAGGAGGUUAGUGCAAUGGCAUAAGCUAGCUUGACUGCGAGCGUGACGGCGCGAGCAGGUGCGAAAGCAGGUCAUAGUGAUCCGGUGGUUCUGAAUGGAAGGGCCAUCGCUCAACGGAUAAAAGGUACUCCGGGGAUAACAGGCUGAUACCGCCCAAGAGUUCAUAUCGACGGCGGUGUUUGGCACCUCGAUGUCGGCUCAUCACAUCCUGGGGCUGAAGUAGGUCCCAAGGGUAUGGCUGUUCGCCAUUUAAAGUGGUACGCGAGCUGGGUUUAGAACGUCGUGAGACAGUUCGGUCCCUAUCUGCCGUGGGCGCUGGAGAAUUGAGGGGGGCUGCUCCUAGUACGAGAGGACCGGAGUGGACGCAUCACUGGUGUUCGGGUUGUCAUGCCAAUGGCACUGCCCGGUAGCUAAAUGCGGAAGAGAUAAGUGCUGAAAGCAUCUAAGCACGAAACUUGCCCCGAGAUGAGUUCUCCCUGAGACUAUAAGUCUCCUGAAGGAACGUUAAAGACGAUGACGUUGAUAGGCCGGGUGUGUAAGCGCAGCGAUGCGUUGAGCUAACCGGUACUAAUGAACCGUGAGGCUUAACCU
rnacentral:rRNA from 1 species